rnacentral:ncRNA from 2 species
GACGUAGGGUCCGAGCGUUGUCCGGAGUUACUGGGCGUAAAGCGCGCGCAGGCGGUUUCGUACGUCGGGUGUGAAAGCCCCCCGCUCAACGGGGGAGGGUCAUUCGAAACGGCGGAACUGGAGGCAGGGAGAGGUCGGUGGAAUUCCCGGUGUAGUGGUGAAAUGCGUAGAUAUCGGGAGGAACACCAGUGGCGAAGGCGGCCGACUGGACCUGUACUGACGCUGAGGCGCGAAGGCGUGGGGAGCGAACGGG